rnacentral:rRNA from 1 species
UAGGGAAUCUUCGGCAAUGGACGGAAGUCUGACCGAGCAACGCCGCGUGAGUGAAGAAGGUUUUCGGAUCGUAAAGCUCUGUUGUAAGAGAAGAACGAGUGUGAGAGUGGAAAGUUCACACUGUGACGGUAUCUUACCAGAAAGGGACGGCUAACUACGUGCCAGCAGCCGCGGUAAUACGUAGGUCCCGAGCGUUGUCCGGAUUUAUUGGGCGUAAAGCGAGCGCAGGCGGUUAGAUAAGUCUGAAGUUAAAGGCUGUGGCUUAACCAUAGUACGCCUUGGAAACUGUUUAACUUGAGUGCAAGAGGGGAGAGUGGAAUUCCAUGUGUAGCGGUGAAAUGCGUAGAUAUAUGGAGGAACACCGGUGGCGAAAGCGGCUCUCUGGCUUGUAACUGACGCUGAGGCUCGAAAGCGUGGGGAGCAAACAGGAUUAGAUACCCUGGUAGUCCACGCCGUAACGAUGAGUGCUAGGUGUUAGACCCUUUCCGGGGUUUAGUGCCGCAGCUAACGCAUUAAGCACUCCGCCUGGGGAGUACGACCGCAAGGUU